GUGUCCUCUCUGAGUGAUGGAAUUAUCAUUCAUCAUAUAAUGACUCUGUUAAACUAUCUAAUGAUGGUUGGAUUGAUUGAGCCAUCCUCGAGCUUGAUCAUUUAUUAGAUAGAAUCACUAAGUAGGUUCAUGCUAAUGAUUUGACCUAAUCAAAACUUUCAGUGGAGGUCCAUCGCCUACUGAAAUGAAAUCGGGGGAUAAAUUAAAUACUAAAAAUUAUUUGGAGAAAUAAUUGGUUGAG
rnacentral:lncRNA from 1 species